UAUACGGAGAGUUUGAUCCUGGCUCAGGACGAACGCUGGCGGCGUGCUUAACACAUGCAAGUCGAACGGUCUACCUCGACGGAAACCUUCGGGUUGAAGACGAGAUCUAGAUAGUGGCGGACGGGUGAGUAACACGUGGAUAACCUGUCCUCAAGACUGGGAUAACCUGGCGAAAGUCGGGCUAAUCCCGGGUAAGCUGAGAGUGUGGCAUCACACAAUCAGAAAAGGUGGUUUUACCAUCGUUUGAGGAGGGGUCCGCGGUAGAUUAGCUAGCUGGUGAGGUAAAGGCUCACCAGGGCGACAAUCUAUAGCUGGUCUGAGAGGACGAUCAGUCACACUGGAACUGAGACACGGUCCAGACUCCUACGGGAGGCAGCAGUGGGGAAUCUUCCACAAUGGGCGCAAGCCUGAUGGAGCAACGCCGCGUGAGUGAAGAAGGUCUUAGGAUUGUAAAGCUCUGUCCUUAGGGAAGAACCGUGGGUAUAGUA
rnacentral:rRNA from 1 species